rnacentral:rRNA from 1 species
GACGAACGCUGGCGGCGUGCUUAACACAUGCAAGUCGAACGGAAAGGCCCUGCUUGCAGGGUACUCGAGUGGCGAACGGGUGAGUAACACGUGGGUGAUCUGCCCUGCACUUCGGGAUAAGCCUGGGAAACUGGGUCUAAUACCGGAUAGGAGCCAUCUUUAGUGUGAUGGUUGGAAAGUUUUUUCGGUGUAGGAUGAGCUCGCGGCCUAUCAGCUUGUUGGUGGGGUAAUGGCCUACCAAGGCGGCGACGGGUAGCCGGCCUGGGAGGGUGGACGGCCACAUUGGGACUGGGAUACGGCCCAGACUCCUACGGGAGGCAACAGUGGGGAAUAUUGCACAAUGGGCGCAAGCCUGAUGCAGCGACGCCGCGUGGGGGAUGACGGCCUUCGGGUUGUAAACUCCUUUCGCUAGGGACGAAGCUUUUUGUGACGGUACCUAGAAAAGAAGCACCGGCUAACUACGUG